rnacentral:rRNA from 1 species
UACAGAGGUCCCGAGCGUUGUUCGGAAUUACUGGGCGUAAAGGGCGCGUAGGCGGCCUGUUAAGUCGAACGUGAAAUCUCCACGCUCAACGUGGAGGGGCCACUCGAUACUGCCAUGACUCGAGUCCGGUAGAGGAGUGUGGAAUUCCCGGUGUAGCGGUGAAAUGCGCAGAUAUCGGGAGGAACACCCGUAGCGAAGGCGGCACUCUGGGCCGGAACUGACGCUGAGGAGCGAAAGCGUGGGGAGCAAACAGG